rnacentral:rRNA from 1 species
GAAACUAAAAGAAUUUGGCGGCAAUUUAAUUUUUUAGAGGAAUUUGUUUCGUUAUCGAUAUUCCGCGAGUUAUUUACUUAAUUUUGUUUAGCUUAUAUACCGUUGUUAUAAGAGUAUAUUUUUAGAUUUAUUUUCUUUAGUUUAAUAAAAUGUUAUUUCAGAUCAAGGUUUAGUUUAUAGUUAAGUGAGAAUGAGUUACAAUAAAUUGUAUUUAAACGGAUAUAUGUUUUUGUUUAUGUUUAUUGAAGGUGGAUUUAAGAGUAAUUUCAUUUAGUUUAGUGGUUUGAAGUUAAAUCUAAUUUGUGC